UUUGCCAGACCCAUAUCUCCCUGCAGCUUUCACUUGAUUUCCCACUGAAGUUAAGCAGGGUUGAGCCUGGCCAGUACCUGGAUGGUAGACCUCCUGGGGAUAACUAAGGUUGCUGCUAGAA
ensembl:rRNA 5S_rRNA 5S ribosomal RNA